AGAAGUGUGCCCGAGAUACAAGGACUAUUUUGAUAGAAUAGCUACAGAGACCAAAAACUCUCACUUC
rnacentral:tRNA from 1 species